CUUCUCCCACAACCACUUCUGGGGUGCGAGAUCGCGGGAGCGCUGGCCGAAGGGUAGGUCAGCUCUCCAAACCUGUUUCUUUGUUUGGUUGUUUUACAGGUGCGCCAUUCGCGGCCACUAAUCG
rnacentral:lncRNA from 1 species